CGUGAAGCUGGAUUCGCUAGUAAUCGCGCAUCAGCCAUGGCGCGGUGAAUACGUUCCCGGGCCUUGUACACACCGCCCGUCAAGCCAUGGGAGCCGGGGGCGCCUGAAGUGCGGUACCGCGAGGGCCGCCCAAGGGCGAGACCGGUGACUGGGGCUAAGUCGUAACAAGGUACC
rnacentral:rRNA from 1 species